rnacentral:rRNA from 1 species
UACGGAAGGUAGCAGUGGGGAAUAUUGCACAAUGGGCGCAAGCCUGAUGCAGCCAUGCCGCGUGUAUGAAGAAGGCCUUCGGGUUGUAAAGUACUUUCAGUCGUGAGGAAGGUGUUAAGGUUAAUAACCUUAGCAAUUGACGUUAGCGACAGAAGAAGCACCGGCUAACUCCGUGCCAGCAGCCGCGGUAAUACGGAGGGUGCGAGCGUUAAUCGGAAUUACUGGGCGUAAAGGGCACGCAGGCGGUUAAUUAAGUUGGAUGUGAAAUCCCCGGGCUUAACCUGGGAAUGGCAUUCAAGACUGGUUAGCUAGAGUCUUGUAGAGGGGGUAGAAUUCCAUGUGUAGCGGUGAAAUGCGUAGAGAUGUGGAGGAAUACCGGUGGCGAAGGCGGCCCCUGGACAAAGACUGACGCUCAUGUGCGAAAGCGUGGGGAGCAAACAGGGAUUAGAUACC